GAUGAAGAACGCAGCGAAAUGCGAUAAGUAAUGCGAAUUGCAGAAUUCAGUGAGUCAUCGAAUCUUUGAACGCACAUUGCGCCCUGUGGUAUUCCGCAGGGCAUGCCUGUUCGAGCGUCAUUUCAACCCUCAAGCUCUGCUUGGUGUUGGGCCCUGCCCGCUGCGGCCGGCCCCAAAGACAGUGGCGGUGCCGCCUGGCCCUGAGCGUAGUACAUCUCUCGCUCCAGUGCCCGGUGGUAGCCUGCCAGAACCCCAACUCUCGUGGUUGACCUCGGAUCAGGUAGGGAUACCCGCUGAACUUAAGCAUAUCAAUAAGCGGAGGA
rnacentral:misc_RNA from 1 species